GUCGUGAGACAGUUCGGUCCCUAUCUGCCGUGGGCGCUGGAGAAUUGAGGGGGGCUGCUCCUAGUACGAGAGGACCGGAGUGGACGCAUCACUGGUGUUCGGGUUGUCAUGCCAAUGGCACUGCCCGGUAGCUAAAUGCGGAAGAGAUAAGUGCUGAAAGCAUCUAAGCACGAAACUUGCCCCGAGAUGAGUUCUCCCUGAGACUUUAAGUCUCCUGAAGGAACGUUAAAGACGAUGACGUUGAUAGGCCGGGUGUGUAAGCGCAGCGAUGCGUUGAGCUAACCGGUACUAAUGAACCGUGAGGCUUAACCUU
rnacentral:rRNA from 1 species